rnacentral:rRNA from 1 species
GGAGUUUGGGCCGUGUCUCAGUCCCAAUGUGGCCGGUCACCCUCUCAGGUCGGCUACUGAUCGUCGCCUUGGUGGGCCGUUACCUCACCAACUAGCUAAUCAGACGCGGGACCAUCCUAUACCACCGGAGUUUUUCACACUAGAUGAUGCCAUCUCGUGCGCUUAUGCGGUAUUAGCAGUCGUUUCCAACUGUUAUCCCCCGGUAUAGGGCAGGUUUCCCACGCGUUACUCACCCGUCCGCCACUAAGCUUCGAGAAGUGCAAGCACUCCUCUGGCUCCGUUCGACUUGCAUGUGUUAAGCACGCCGCCAGCGUUCAUC